rnacentral:lncRNA from 1 species
CCACACACACCAAACCUCCAAUGACAGUACACCAAGCUUCACUUUCCCCAUUGUUUGCCAGCAAAAUUCAUCGUCGUGGUGCGUUCCCAGCUUGAUUCCUUGCAGCCACGGCGCCUACUCCACGUCCCACAUCCAUUUUGCUACUUCCCUGCCGUCCUCCCUCGCCGAGCGACUCUCUCCACGACGAGCCCCCAUCCGCCCCCUUCCUGCACCGUUCCUAGAACUGUGGCACCACCUUCCUCGUCGCCACACCGCUGGUGAGCACCUCCUUGGCUCCGUGCGCCACCGCUCUCCCUCCCCAAGCCGCCCCUUCUCUUUCCCCCACCUUCGGCCCAAGGCCAUGGCCAGCCUAGAUGUUCCUGUACCGUGCGUGUGAUCUGUUUGUGCGUGGGGGGGGCCUCAUUGGAGAAGAAGAAGAAAAUGUAGGGGGUUAUGGGUGAAAUCUAGGGAGUUUUGCUCUAUUAACCCGUAGAUCCUGGGGCUAGAUUGCAAGUUUGCCUCGAUUUUUAUUUAUUUCCUAGAUCUAAAAAGGCUGCAACUUUGGAAAUUCGUAGUAAAUUGUAGAAAAUCUAUAAAAUAGAAAAUAAAAAUGUUUUGUAAUCCUUGUGUUAAGAACUAUGCAUUAGAGUCAUAAUAUAAUAUGUGUUAGUUAAAAGUUUCUAAUGUUUUUAUUUAUCCUUGCAAAGUGCUUUUAGAAAUCCUUUUAAGUUGGUUGGAUGCAUAUUUUGAGUUAUAGAAGUCCAAAGAUUGUGAUUCAAGAUGUGUUAGUCUUGUGAUGGUACUCUCUAGCUAAUAAAAAUAUUGAACAUGCUAGUUGAGUACUAUUUUUAUAAUGUUUUGAUUUAAUCCGGGUAAAUAGGCAAUUUUUAGCUUGUUUUGCUUGUCAUUUUCAUAUCUAAAGUUUUGUUACUCAAAUUUCUAUGCAAGUUUUAUGGUAGACUAUAAAUGAUGCUCUUGUGCUAUGGUAAAAAUUUCAUAUUUAUUGGUGCACGUAUGACCGAGUUAUUGAUUUAACUUGUUUAAUGAUUGUUAUGUGAUUUAUAAAUAUUAGGAGUGUCUAAAAAUAGAAAAUGUGGUUCCACUACCUUUGUAUGAUGUUUUUCUACCAUAAUAACAUAUAAUAUGACUAUUUGUUUAUAUAAUAUGAUGAUCUUUAGAUUUAUCUUGCUUUUACAUAUUUUCUUGCAAUAGCAAUUUGUCUUUUUCAUAGCAAUUAAAUUAUAAAACUUGAGCAUGUGAAAUUUGUACAGUAGUAAUGUUUUGAUAACAUCUAUCAUCCAUAAAAAUCUCAGCUCCAAAUGAGAUGUUUGCCAUAUCACUUAUAAUUAAUAUAUAUGUUUACUGUGUAAUUGGAUAAUGAAAUUUUGCUAGUAGAUGCAUAUACUUAAGUCAUGUGAAGCUUUUAAUAGUUGUUUUUGAGGGGUACGUAUGAUGCUAAGUUAUGAUAGGUAGUGGUUAAGCUUUGAAUAUAACUCAUAUGUAUGCUCUCAUGUUAAUAUAACAACUGCUUAUAUAAGUUCUUCGCCUUUGCUUUAAUUCUUGAUUAAGGUGUUUAGGGUGUUCCAUGUUACCUAAAAUUAAGGCUAAUUAACUAUGUCCAUAGUAUUUGUGAGUUUAACUUAUGCAUGUGUUACCUUGUUAAAAAAACUAAAUGAAGAACCUUGUUGUAUGUGUGCUGAAAUGGCUGCUAGAGCAGUUCUGUUGUGGCAAUAUUUUCAUGAUGCAAAUUAUGUUUUCUGUAAAUAUGGUGAAUAUAAAAGUUGUAGGUAACUUAAUAAUAUAGCUUAUAUUAAGUUUUCAUGACCAUAAGCCUGAUGGUUUAGGAGAUAUAGAUUUUACAAGUUCAUUUUCAAGUUUUUCAUGCUCUAUGUAUAGGUCUGAAUGAUUGCGUUGUUUGACUUAGCUAAGCUUUGAAUCAUAUCUUGGAGAUAAUAUAAUAAGUGUAGGGUUUUUCAUGAGCUUUACAAAUUGUUAAAUAUCACCCCUUUUGGUGGUCUAAAUCUCCAGUUAUAAGCUUGUAUAGUGGAAUGGCAGAAUCUGUCCUAAUCUGGACAGAGAUGUCUUCUUUGUGAUGUUUGACCUGGUUAACUUUGGAAUUAGCUUGUGGUGUUUAUAACAAAGUUAUGCAUAGUUUAUUAAUCUUUCUAAAAAUUUUAGAACCACCUUGUUGUGAAAACUAAAACUCAACUUAUUGCUGUCUAAAGUUGCAUGUCAGUUUUCUAUCCUUGUUUGUAUAGAUCUGCUCAUUGGUGUGUUUUCACCUUGUUAAUUAUUGAAUCAGCUUUUGGUGUUAAUAAAAAAGUUUAUAUAAUUUCAUUAAAUUUAUAUAAAGUCUAGGAUAACCUUUGUUGGAUGCCUAUAUCUCUAGUUAUGGUUAAAACAAGUGACUACUGUGCUGCUGUCCAGAUUCGGUGUAUGUGCUUAAGUUAUUAGUUUGAACUUGAUGUUGCCUUGUGUGCUGGCUAGUUAGCUCAUAUCACUAUUAGAGUUAACUUGAUCUACCUGAGAAUCUUAUAAAUGUGUUAUAUAAGGUUGAUCAAGCACUUAACUAAUAAAUGGUCAUGUAUGCAUGUUGCUGCAAAAUGACCUUGCUGCAUAGCUUGCUAGAACCGUUGGUGUGUGACUUGCUUGUGUAUGAAUGGUUUAAAAACAAAUGUAAUAUACUUUGAUUGCCUUCAACUUGCUGGUUGUGUGAUGCAUUUAUGUAUGCCAUAUUGAUAAGCACUAUCACCCUAGUUCUUGUAUGAUGCUAUGCUUAAUUAGCUCUUGUUUGUUAAUUGCUUGCAAUAGUUUGACUUAAGUUCACUAGUGUGCCAUGCUUGUUAGGCUUGCUAUCUCUAUGGUAGACUUGAGUGAUAGUUAGUUAAAUAACUAGCUCCCUAAGUGCUUAUGUCUUGUGGUGUAACCUUGUGCUUGUCCUGAAUGCUUUUGUGUGAUGCAUCUCAUUAUACCGUUCUUCGUAUUCAUGCUCUUGCUUUUUGCAUCUAAUUUGGAUACGCUAGAUAACCACGUGAAGGAUGUGAUGAUGGAACCGAACCUGAAGAUGGUGGAGCUAUCCCGAAGAUGGAAGAACUAAGCAAGUGCCGAGAUGGGAGAUGCUCACCAAGCGAGUGUCGUCUAACAAACACUAACCUAGUGUGGUUUUCAGGCAAGUCCUGGAGCAUAUCCCAGUUUUCUAAACUUCUGCAAUGAUUUAUGCUGGUUAUGAUUGUGCAUUUAAGUUACUAGGCAUUGUCUGAAACCUUAGAGACAUGAACUUAGUACCCUUUUGAUCUGAACACUAGCAUGAUAAGUCGUGUAGAUGCAAUGCUUAAUAGGACACAGUAAAAGUCGAGUGAUUUCCUGUCACUCGCAAGUUGUAUGAGUUGUUGUUUACUUAUGUUAAAACCAUAAUGACAAUGGGCGGGGCAGGGCCUUGUGAACUACUUUGGUGGUCGGUGGAUUGCCCCGUCUGUCUAAAUGAAAAUGGACUAAGGUCGAAACAUGUUGGCGUUCGUGAUCAAGAGUUUGAAAGUACUAAUCUCAUACCUAGUAUGGGAUAGGGAAGCCUAGUACCUGAUUGAACUGGGGCGUGGCUUAUAUUCCUGCUGUCCUUGGAACGUCGUUCCCAUGGUGCAUCAUGUGGGUGCAAGUGCGGUCACAGUAUGGCAAAAGGCUAGGACUAUGGAGCAUUGCAUGCCAAAGGAAGUUUGGACCUGACACGUGCCUAAGGGAUCGAUGGGGACGGCUGACAAGUGAAGCGACCCUUCAUGGUGCGCGAAUGUCGUGGGAUUAGGUUCGCCAUGCAUGGUUAAUAAAUUUGAAUCGAUUCGUCUACCUCUCACAGUUUGGGACUGCUUGAUCGCUAUUCUGCACUAAGUAAAGAUGGAACAUGAUGAUAUUAAUCUUGAUGCUUGUCCUUUAAUUGUUUGGAAAUAAUGCUUGCUUAGUAUAAGUUGCUAAUCUAGACUGGUUAAUGAACUUAGAAUCUGAGCUAAAAUAUUGAAAGUAAGGACCAACUUUAGUCGCUUUUGGCAAAAACAAACCCACCGCCAAAAAGCCUUGCAUGUCUAGGAGUCGGUGGAGUAGUUACCACUUGACGGGUAAGCCUUGUUGAGUAUUAGUAUACUCAGCCUUGCUUGUGGCUAUCUUUUUCAGGUUUGUUGUUAUUUUGGGUGCUAGCCUUACUUGGCCUACCCAGCUCCCUCCCGGUUGGACGGCCAAGUGGGAUCCCUUCUCGAACGGCGAGGACAGGGGUCAUUGAUGUCAUGAUCGGCUUCGGCAUGAUAUCGUGUAUCGUCGUGUAGCUUCCGUUGUUUUACAUCUUCGCUGUUUACAACCUUGCAAACUUGUUUGGGUUUCGAAAACUCUAAUGUAAUAAGUUGUUGAACUAUGUUAAUGUGAUGAGAAUGUUAUAAUCUCUACGCCACUCAACUUCAUGUGAGGAAUGCUUCUCGAUCCUGAGUAAGUGGUUUAUUGGAUGCAAUCCGACGGUCGACCAAGUUGACUUGCUUAAAGUGCAUGAUCGCGUGUCAGAUGCCUUAAGUGUAUUUUAGUCAGGUUAAUUUGGGCGGUUCCGCCAUAGCUGGGUACUACUACGAAGCGGUCCCAAAUACUAGCCCUCCAAGAGAUCAUGUCUACUGAACUAGCAACGCCUACAUUACUCAAGUGGUUGGAGGUGUCAAUCACCUUUUCCAGGAAGGAUCAGUGGACUAAUUUCUCCGACCCAGAACGCUACCAUCUCGUCCUGAAUCCAGUAGUCGCAGGCUCUCAACUCACAAAAGUACUCAUCGACGGCAGCAGUGGUCUCAACGUACUCUUCGCCAAGACUUUGAGGAAGAUGGGCCUCGAUGUCACCGAUAUGCUUACCCCAACAAACUCCUCGUUCUACGGGAUCGUCCCAAUCAACCCGGCUGUACCCUUUGGUCAGAUGGUUUUGGCAGUUAUCUUCGGGACCAAAGAACACUACCGGAUAGAGUACAUCUGGUUUGAGGUAACUGAUUUUUAAACUUUGUAUCACGCUAUCCUUGGAAGACCUGUAUUGGUUAAAUUCAUGGCCAUCCCACAUUACUUGUACUUAGUCCUCAAAAUGCCAGGACCCAAGGGAGUACUCUCCCUGCGUGGAGACUUGAAAAGAUUCUACGACUGCGACACCGAAGCUGUGGAGUUGGCAGCGACUACUUAAGUGCCGAAUUCGAUGAUGCAAGUUUUCGCCGCCUCCAAGAAAUUGUCCCUGGUAGAACUCGAGAUCCCAGAGAAGAGUUGAAGGCAAGCAAGGUCAAGCCGACAAGUGAAGCCGAUAUCAAAGCCAUUGACCUUGAGACUGGCUAUAGCUCCAAGACAACCCUGAUUGGCUCAGGGCUGGACCCCAAGUACGAAGAUGUGCUUGUCAGCUUGCUUCGGGUCAACUGAUACAUCUUUGUAUGGAUACCAUCAGAUAUGCUAGGGGUGCCUAAGGAGUUCAUUAAGCACUCACUAAAUAUGGAUCCCAAAGCUACACCAAAAUGAUAACAACUACGCCGAUUAGCCCAAAACAGAAAAGAAGCGAUCAAAAAAGAGUUGGCCAAACUACUCGUGGCUGGCUUCAUAAAAGAAGUCUAUCAUCCAGAUUGCCUGGACAAUCUUAUGUUGGUCUGAAAGAAAAAUAACAAUGAGUGGAGGAUGUGUGUCAACUACACAGACCUCAACAAGCACUGUCCAAAGGAUCCCUUCGGGCUCCCUAAGAUUGAUCAAGUCAUCGACUCGACGGCUAGAUGCGCUCUACUCUGUUUCCUUGAUUGCUACUCGGGGUACCACCAGAUAGCCCUUAAGGAAAAAGAUCAAAUCAAGACCGCGUUCAUCACCCCAUACGGAGCUUUCUACUAUAUUACUAUGUCCUUUGGGUUGAAGAACGCAGGCGCCACCUAUCAGCGAGCCAUCCAGGAGUGUUUCAAAAAAAUAACUACACCGCAAUGUAGAAGCGUAUGUGGAUGAUGUGGUCUUAAAGACCAAAAAUCCUGAUGACUUGAUUGUGGAUCUGAAAGAAAAUUUUGCAAGCUUGCGAGAGUUCCGGUGGAAGCUGAACACGACAAAAUAUGUAUUCAGUGUACCCUCCAGAAAACUACUUGGGUUUAUCAUUAGUCAUCGAGAAAUCGAAGCUAAUCCCGAGAAGAUCGUUGCCAUCACCAGUUUGCAUGCCCCAUCGUGCAUCAAGGGCGUCCAGAAGUUGACUGGGUGUAUGGUGGCUCUCAACAUAUUCAUCUCAAGGUUUGGAGAACGGGGACUACCCUUCUUCAAACUAUUCAAGUGACAAGAUAAAUUACAGUGGAUCGAGGAGGCAGAUCAAGCCCUUCAUCAGUUGAAGGACUUCCUUUCAAAGCCACUGAUACUUACGGCGCCAAACCCCAAUUAAGACUUGUUGCUCUACAUCACCGCAACUAUUAAUGUUGUCAGCACAGCGAUCGUGGUCGAAAGACCAGAACCAGGCCACUUAUACAAAGUACAGAGGCCCGUCUACUUCAUCGACGUGGUAUUGUCAGAUUCAAAAUCCAGGUACCCACCAGCUCAAAAGUUUCUAUACGCAAUACUACUCACCUCGCGAAAGUAACGACACUACUUCUAGGAACACAACAUCUCCGUCAUCAUAGAUUUCCCCUUGGGAGAAAUUCUCCACAAUCGAGAUGCAACAGGAAGGAUCUCCAAAUGGGCAGUAGAACUCAGAGCAUUGUCCCUGGAAUUCAAGUCAAGGACGGUCAUUAAGUCACAAGCACUAGUCAAUUUCAUGGUUGAAUGGCGUGAAAAUCAUGUACCAACACUGGCAGAAUGCCCAAAACAUUGGGUCAUGUACUUUGAUGGAUCACUCAAGCUCGAGGGCGCCGAUACAGGAGUACUCUUAAUCUCUCCCAAAGGCGAACAACUUAAAUAUGUCCUGCAAAUCUUCUGGGAGGUAUCCAACAAUGAAGCUGAAUACGAAGCGCUUCUGCACGGGCUUCGCCUAGCAGUCUCACUGUGAAUCAAGAAAUUGUUGGUCUACGACGACUCGCUCGUGGUCAUCAAUCAAGUCAACGACGAGUGGGAUCACCACAAAGAGAAUAUGGAUGCAUACUGCCUGGAGUUACGCAAGCUAAAGAACAAGUUCUCUGGUUUGGAGUUCCAUCAUGUGGCUCAUGAUAAUAACGUAGCCGCAAACGUCUUGUCCAAGCUUGGUUCUACUCGUGCUCAAGUUCCAGCUGGGGUCUUCAUCCAUGAACUACACAAACCAUCCAUAGCAGAGCCGGCACCUUCAAAAAUACCUAAUCGAGGCCACAAUGCGCCAGACCGGGAGGUUAUCAUGAUCGAUGUAGACUGGAGAACCCCUUCAUCGACCAUAUUAAGGAGCACAACUUACCUCCAGACAAGACAAGAAGAUCAAGUAUCGCGGCGCAGCAAGAACUAUGUUCUAGUCGGGGAUAAGCUCUACAGACGAGGUGCAUCAUCAAGAGUACUCAUGAAGUGCGUCUCACGGCAAAAUGAUAAGGACAUACUGGAGGAGAUCCACAGGGGUAUCUGCAGCAACCACGCUUCCUCAAGAACGAUCAUGGGCAAGGCUUUCAGAGCAUAAUCUAUAUGGACCUACAGCUCUCGCCGUCGCUGAAGCACUAGUGCGCCGAUACCAAGGGUGUCAAUUAUUCACCAAGCAACAACAUGUCCUUGCCUACAAGCUAAUCACUAUACCACCCUCUUAACCCUUCGCAUGCUGGGGUCUAGACAUGAUUGGCCUGCUGCUUACGGCGCUCGGAGGGUUCAAUUGAGUACUCAUGGCGAUAGACAAAUUACCAAGUGGAUCAAGGUGAAGCCAGUAACCUGCUCGAAAGCAGACAGACUUCCUUGACAAAAUUGUUCAUCGCUACGGCUUCCCCAAUCGUAUCAUCACAGACCUAGGCUCAAAUAUCAACAAUCACGAGUUCUGGGAGUACUGCGAGAACAGCGGUAUCGACAUCCGGUACGUCUCUGUCGCUGAUCCGCGAGCUAAUGGCCAGGUUGAGCAUGCCAAUACGAUGUUACUGGUAGCUCUCAAGAAACGACUACAGGACAUUGGAAACACCAAAGGAGGCAAAUGGCUCAAGGAGCUACCCAAUGUACUCUGGGGGCUUCGCACCCAGCUGUGCAAGCCUACGGGGUACUCGUCCCACUUCCUAGUCUACGGAUCAAAAGCUAUCCUCCCUGCAAAUGUCAUGUCGAAAUCUCCAGUAGUCGAGCAGUAUGAGGAAGGCGCAGCUAAAGAAAUAAGGUGUCUUGACUUAAACAACCUCGAAGAAGCUCGAUGUGCAGCACUCGUCCAGUCAGCAAGAUAUCUUGACGGAAUCUGCCGCUAUCAUGAUCGUAACGUCAAAGAGCAUUCGUUCAGCACAGGCACCAUGGUCCUUAAGCGUAUUCAAGACAUCAAGGGGUUAGACAAGCUAAAUUCGCCAUGGGAGGGUCCUUUCAUCAUCUCCAAGGUCACUGAGCUUGGGUCGUAUUGGCUCUAAACUCUCUCUGUUGAAGAAGUCAACAACUCGUGUAACAUCGAGCACUUGUGUCGAUUCUACCCAUAGUUUACAUACUCAUGUAAAUUGGCCAUCAGCCUUAGUUGUACAAUUACAAUUUAAUAAAGCAGAGUUAUUUCUUGUCAUAAAACGACUAAUCUCUGCCUGACUGCGACUUACAAAAAUAAGAUCGCUGAGCUAUUUAGCUCACCGGGUACUACCGCCCAGCUCGCAGCUUGUAAUCACAAGCUUGCAAAGAAUAUUUUCAAGUUCUUCAACUCGUUGGACAAAAUUGUCCACACACGGCUUGUAAUAACAAGUCAGCACACAUAUCUUUUGGGUUAUUCAUCUCGUUAGAUAAGCAGUGACUUGCAAAAGCAAGCCUACACACACAAAAAAUGAGCUAGUCAGCUCCUUGGACAAGUCUUUCCAUCGACGGUCUUGCAAAAGAAGUUGUCAGUAACUUGGAAGUAAUCUAUACUACCCGAGAUCUCAUCUAGACAAGUCCAUCUAGUCGCAGCUUGUAAUAACAAAUCUAGCCGCAGCUUGGAAUAACAAGUCUGUAGUUCCAGGUCUUCGGAGCACAACACCCGACCAACCCAGAGAGGUUGUAAAGGUAGGCUCUAGAUUGAUGAAGUCCUAAAGAGUCUACUCGUUUCAAGAGGCUCACUAGCCAAAACCUAAGUACUUGCGCUCCACAGAAAGGGGUUGCAGCUUAAUAGUACUGUACAUCGUGUAUCUAAAGAGGCUCACCAAAGUAGUUUUGUGCAUAGACACUCACAACUACCGCACGAGCAACUAUCAGGGUAGUUCGGGAGAUGCACUAAAACAAACAAGUCGACAAGCAAUACAAUUUGCGACAAGACUUCAAAUAAUUUACAUUUCAUUUCACUCGUGACAUGUUUAUAUUACAAUGACUUCAUGUUUUUUCAUAACAACUACUCAAUAUCUAUCUGACCGGCUACCUCCUUAGCAAUGGGUGCCACCUCUUGCAGGUACUCCUAAAACUGCUCAUCAGAGCAGUCUUGGGCAAUCUCCUCCGCAAUUAGAGCCAAGUCAGCUUGCGGGUAGAAGGAUUUCACCAUCGCCAAUAGCUACUUUAAGAUGGACUCUACCAUCUUCUGGAUGUCCCCGGUGAUCUUCGCAGGCACCUCCUUGAGUACUUCCGCC